CGUGCGCACGCGCCGAAUCCCGUAAGGGAACCGGGGAACCACCACCUUGGGGUGAAUCGAGCGGAUACCGCCGUGGCAGCACGGUGGGUAUACGCGCGUAGGAGACCUUCCUGCUCCGAACCCGUCAGCUAACCCGGUAGGCGAGAAGGAAGGAAAGG
rfam:Streptomyces sp. RV15 genomic scaffold PRJNA299236_s010, whole genome shotgun sequence.